rnacentral:rRNA from 1 species
GAGCGAUGGAAGCUUGCUUCUAUCAAUCUUAGUGCCGAUCGGGUGAGUAACGCGUAAUCAACCUGCCCUUCAGAGGGGGACAACAGUUGGAAACGACUGCUAAUACCGCAUACGAUCCAAUCUCGGCAUCGAGACUGGAUGAAAGGUGGCCUCUAUUUAUAAGCUAUCACUGAAGGAGGGGAUUGCGUCUGAUUAGCUAGUUGGAGGGGUAACGGCCCACCAAGGCGAUGAUCAGUAGCCGGUCUGAGAGGAUGAACGGCCACAUUGGGACUGAGACACGGCCCAGACUCCUACGGGAGGCAGCAGUGGGGAAUCUUCCGCAAUGGACGAAAGUCUGACGGAGCAACGCCGCGUGAGUGAUGACGGCCUUCGGGUUGUAAAGCUCUGUCAAUCGGGACGAAUGGUUCUUGUGUGAAUAGUGCGAGGAUUUGACGGUACCGGAAUAGAAAGCCACGGCUAACUACGUGCCAGCAGCCGCGGUAAUACGUAGGUGGCAAGCGUUGUCCGGAAUUAUUGGGCGUAAAGCGCGCGCAGGCGGAUUGGUCAGUCUGUCUUAAAAGUUCGGGGCUUAACCCCGUGAUGGGAUGGAAACUGCCAAUCUAGAGUAUCGGAGAGGAAAGUGGAAUUCCUAGUGUAGCGGUGAAGUGCGUAGAUAUUAAGAAGAACACCAGUGGCG